ensembl:ncRNA C16E9.20 ncRNA
ACGGUGGCUGCCCUGGCAUCAGCAUCCAUCAUUCGUGCAUCGCAUGCCAUUUGAGUCAAUGAUUGCACAUUGAUUCCUGAAAAAUAAAACAACGUAGGUCUCCCGUCUACUUAUGUCAAAUGGCACGCUGCGUUCCGAACACAUCCUUCU